CGGUUGAUCCUGCCGGACCUGACUGCUAUCGGAUUGAUACUAAGCCAUGCGAGUCAUUGUAGCAAUACAAGGCAGACGGCUCAGUAACGCGUAGUCAACCUAACCUAUGGACGGGAAUAACCUCGGGAAACUGAGAAUAAUGCCCGAUAGAACACUAUACCUGGAAUGGUUUGUGUUCCAAAUGAUUUAUCGCCGUAGGAUGGGACUGCGGCCUAUCAGUUUGUUGGUGAGGUAAUGGCCCACCAAGACUAUUACGGGUACGGGCUCUGAGAGGAGUAGCCCGGAGAUGGGUACUGAGACACGGACCCAGGCCCUAUGGGGCGCAGCAGGCGAGAAAACUUUGCAAUGUGCGAAAGCACGACAAGGUUAAUCCGAGUGAUUUGUGCUAAACGAAUCUUUUGUUAGUCCUAGAACCACUAACGAAUAAGGGGUGGGCAAGUUCUGGUGUCAGCCGCCGCGGUAAAACCAGCACCUCAAGUGGUCAGGAUGAUUAUUGGGCCUAAAGCAUCCGUAGCCGGCUCUGUAAGUUUUCGGUUAAAUCUGUACGCUUAACGUACAGGCUGCCGGGAAUACUGCAGAGCUAGGGAGUGGGAGAGGUAGACGGUACUCGGUAGGAAGGGGUAAAAUCCUUUGAUCUAUUGAUGACCACCUGUG
rnacentral:rRNA from 1 species